CAGGACGAACGCUGGCGGCGUGCUUAACACAUGCAAGUCGAGCGGUAAGGCCUUUCGGGGUACACGAGCGGCGAACGGGUGAGUAACACGUGGGUGAUCUGCCCUGCACUCUGGGAUAAGCCUGGGAAACUGGGUCUAAUACCGGAUAUGACCUGCUCUCGCAGUGGGGGAGGUGAAAGNUUUANCGGUG
rnacentral:rRNA from 1 species